rnacentral:lncRNA from 1 species
UACAAUAAUUUAUGAUUAUAAUAUUACUCUUUAUAAAUAGGAUAAUCAUUUUAUGCAACACCAAAGUAAAUAAAGGACAAAUAUUAUUUGUGAGUGGCAUUAGUGGAGCGUGAGAAGACGCGCAAUAGUUGUGUGGCGGGAAGAGAAAUAGUGUUUGCCGCUUUAUUCUGGUCGCUACCAGUUGUGUAAUGAAGGCGUCUACGUAAGCGUAACGAGGUGAUUUUGACGCGUGUGGGACCGCAUGUCAAAGUCGAUACCCCGUUGCAGAAUAUCUGAGGUUCGGUAGCUGUUCACUAGCCACGUGUCUUCUUCUGACGUGGAUCUGAAUGUGCGCCUAUCGUUCCUCGCGCUCUUACACGUUUCAACCACUGCUUGCUCCAGAAAUUAUAAAAUUUCACCGCCCCUCUUCCACAAAUUAGAAAGUUGUUGUACAGGAGACCCUGUUUUUGACAAUUUGCUUAACGACCUUUAUAAGCUUCUGUAUUUCUAUUUUACCCCAAUUAAACUUAUUUUCACAUUGUGACCCCUUCUAUUAUUUCUCGUUACUCCCUUACCCUUUACAUAAAAUAUAUAAAUCGAUGAGAAUAUUGGCGCACAAAAUUUGAUGUUAAUUGAUGUUAUUAUAAUUAGGGGUGUUAGCGGAUUGAAUUUUACAGAUUGGACACUGAUCUAUAUCUGAUCUAUGAUUUUGGGAUUAUAAAUUUUUAAUCCAAUCUAAUAUACGGAUUGGUGAAAUUCAAUACAAAUCCAAUCUAUAUGUUUGCGAAUCGAAUGCAGAUAUGACCCAAUGUAUAUCCAAUUCAUUAUUUUACAGAUUAGUUUGUGGGUUAAAAAUCUUUAAUUCCGUCCUAAACACAAACUAACUAAAUA